rnacentral:rRNA from 1 species
CACAUGCAAGUCUAACGGGAAAGUCGGCUUCGGCUGGCUAGUACCGUGGCGAACGGGUGAGUAACACGUGGGUAAUCUAACCUUGAGCUUGGGAUAACCUUGCGAAAGCGAGGCUAAUACCGAAUAAGACCACGCCCUGUCCGCAGGGUGCGGUAGAAGGUGGCCUCUUCCUGAAAGCUACCACUUGAGGAUGAGCCCGCGGCCUAUUAGCUAGUUGGUAGGGUAACGGCCUACCAAGGCGACGAUGGGUAGCCGGCCUGAGAGGGUGUACGGCCACACUGGCACUGAGAUACGGGCCAGACUCCUACGGGAGGCAGCAGUGGGGAAUUUUGCGCAAUGGGGGAAACCCUGACGCAGCAACGCCGCGUGAGUGAUGAAGGCCUUCGGGUCGUAAAGCUCUUUUAGUGGGGAAGAAUCCCACCCGGACGAAUAAUCCGGGUGGAUGACGGUACCCACAGAAAAAGUUCCGGCUAACUACGUGCCAGCAGCCGCGGUAAUACGUAGGGAGCAAGCGUUGUUCGGAAUUAUUGGGCGUAAAGAGCGCGUAGGCGGUUCGGUAAGUCUGACGUGAAAUCCCGGAGCUUAACUCCGGAACUGCGUUGGAUACUGCCGGGCUUGAGUGUGGGAGAGGAGAGUGGAAUUCCCAGUGUAGAGGUGAAAUUCGUAGAUAUUGGGAGGAACACCCGUGGCGAAGGCGGCUCUCUGGACCACAACUGACGCUGAGGCGCGAAAGCUAGGGUAGCAAACGGGAUUAGAUACCCCGGUAGUCCUAGCCGUAAACGAUGGGCACUAGGUGUUGGAGGUAUCGACCCCUCCAGUGCCGCAGCUAACGCAUUAAGUGCCCCGCCUGGGGAGUACGGUCGCAAGACUAAAACUCAAAG